UACAGAGGGGCCAAGCGUUGUCCGGAUUGACUGGGCGUAAAGCGCACGCAGGCGGAUGCGCGCGUGGGGUGUGAAAUCUGGCCGCUUAACGGCCAGGCGCCAUCCCAUACGGCGCGUCUGGAGUGAUGCAGAGGUCGAUGGAAUUGCCGGUGUAGUGGUGAAAUGCGUAGAGAUCGGCAGGAACACCCAGGGGGAAACCAGUCGACUGGGCAUCUACUGACGCUGAGGUGCGAGAGCGUGGGGAGCGAACCGGG
rnacentral:rRNA from 1 species